ensembl:piRNA 21ur-13123 ncRNA
UGUUUGGGUUCCUGAUCUUCU